CGGCGGGCUAGCCAGGGUGAUUCGGCGUCACCUGUCACCCGAAAUCGUCGAUAUGCGGGUGGCGAAGCCGAUGGAAGAGGUCACAACCGCGCUUUCGACCCGCGGGCUUUACUGUGAAACCCCGUCCCGUGGGGCGGGUGCAGGCACGGGUCUCUCUCGAGAGGGGGUCCCCGUACCUUAACCGUGGACACCGGUCCAGGCCCGGAAGGGAGCAGACUUACCGCGGACAACCCUCGCUCACGGGGGCGCGGGGCGGAGGCGAGCCUGCGGACAACCGGGGCGCGGAAGGGGCAGCGACUAAAGGCGCGCCCGCUG
rnacentral:SRP_RNA from 1 species